GCCUCCCGCCCCGCCCCGCGGCCGGCGACCCGCGACUAGCGACCGGGACCCGGACCCGCGCGAUAGUGCGGCAGAGCCUGGGGACGGUGGCCGCCACGCCCUCGCCCCGGCAGCCGCAGACCAACCGGGAGCUAGAGCCUGCCCUUGCCGGGGAAGUUCUCCGCGUGAAACCAGAGGCGAUUCACGCUACGCCGCGUGAUGGUCCCGGGUCAGCGACCCGAAAGCGGAUGAGCUGCCAUUGUCUCCCACUUCUACGCGCGGGAGGGACCAAGUAUGCAGCCAGAACCCGGCGAGGGAGUCCAAGGAGCUCGCCCUCAGCGGCCACUGCGGCGGAGAGCAGAGAUGAAUAAAUGAGUAACCACAUCAAUAUUUAAGUGUUCACUCGGACCGCUGGGGCUCAUGCGUCCCGAGUUGGGGAAAAUUAUAGGCUCUGGUGGAGGUUUUAAACAAUUCCUUAUGUCCAUUAAGUGCCUACUCUGUGCAAAGCCCUUGGUAUUACUUGCAUGCUUGGUUUAUUAUUGAUAACGACAACAGCGGUUAAUAAUUGCAGAUGCUAAAUUUCGGCCAGUGCUGGCCCAUAUGUUUUACAUGCGUUACCUCAUUUUGUCCCCAAAGCAGCCCUGUGGGGUGAGUAUGGUUUUUAAUCCUUAUUUUCAGGAAGAUAAAAUUGCAGCUUAGAGAGGUUAACCUGCCAUGAUUCAUAACUGGAAGAAGUGGUAUGUGAAUCCACACAGAUGACUCCAAAGUCGUUUUUGUUGUUUUAGUUUUAGAGCCUGUAUUAAAAAUCGUAUUUUAAAAAAUA